UCUCCUUAAUUUUAAUUACCUUCCAACUAUAGGAUAGAAUAACCGACCGUUCCUAACGCAAAUGACAAAGAGCUUGGUGGUUAGUAUCCGGCGUUUCAAUAAUAAAUCCAAAUUAAUUCACAUUUUCAGCUAAAUUUAUUUUUAAAUAAAAUAAAAUAAAGCGGGUGGUAUACUAUCUAUCUCUUAAAAACUAAACAAUGUAAGGCACGAUUGUCUUAUUUAAAGCCCACGUACUCACCUCCACCACCAUUUCCAUUUCCCACACUUCUAAUUUUCUCCAAUUCCCUUGCCGCCUCCUUUUUGUGAAAGCAUCUCCCCACUCAUGAGCACAUAUGGACCCCCUACUUACUCGGGUGCAGGGUGCGAUUUCACUACUCAUUAGCAAUGGAAUACAUUUCAUUUUUCCUUUUCUAUUUUAAAGAGAAAGAUAAAAUAUUAUCUGUUCCGUUUAUUUUUUAGAAAUAAUCUCAACUGAAAAUACAAAAUAAUUCAGAUUCGAACUUACAAUCUCAUAUAUAUACCAAAUCAUCAAGUCCUAUACUAAUUAUGCUAGGUAGGGUGGAUUAAUACAUAUCAAUUGUUGAUGUACAAUAAAAUAGCUCCAUAUAUGUCCAAAAUUUUGAGCAUGUCUUCUAUACUUUCGAAAGUACCGAGACUCCCGUAUUUAUAAGUUCUUUUCGAUAAUAAAAUAUCCGAUUUAAUGAUUGGCUCCGUUAGGCAUAAUUUAUUCCAUUGGAACUAUCUAGAAAUCAAAUUUCAUAAAUUUUCGACAUCGUUUACCAACUCAUCAAAAGUUUUCAAAAAAAACUAUUUCAACAAUCGAUUGACGUGACACGUUUUUAAGUUCAACGAUGCAGAAUAGUCUAAAUUACAUAAAACUUUAACAAAAAAUUUCACUUAACAUUAAUAGUAACAUUAAUACUUCUUAUUUAAAAUUUUUUUAUCAAUAUUGUUUAUAAGAUUUUUACUUUCAGCCGUUCAUUUUAAGGUUAUUCGUUCACUAGACGAAUGAAGUCAAAAAAUUAUGAAAUUUGGUUUCCAGAUAGUUCCAAUAACGUAGAUCAUGUCUAACGAAACCGAUCGCUAAAUCGGAUAUUCCAUCAUCGAAAAUAACUUACAAAUACGAAGGCCUAUAUACUUUUGAUAACAUAGUAGUCUAGCUCCAAAAUUUUUUCUGCAAAUGGCGUUGCACAUAGUGCUCAUUCUGUUAGAAAGCUAAAGUUAAAAGCCAAAUUUAUAUUAAAGUUAAGAAUAUAACAUAUAUGAUAGAAUUCUAAAAUCAAAUAUGAUCGACUGAAGACACUACGAGCCUUUUUGGCAUAGCUUUUGAAAAAGUAAUUUUUGAAAAAGUGAUUUUAGUUUGAAGAAAUAAUUUUAGUUAAAAACUGUAGAGCGUUUGGCUAACUUUAGAUAAAAGUAAUUUUUCUGAAAUGAUUUUGAAAAACUGUUUGGCAAAAUUUUUUUGAUGUUUGGAUAAAUUAAUAUUUUUAUUAACUUUUAUUUUAAAAUAAUUUAAAAACUAAAUUAAAAUUAAAAUUAAAAUUAAAAAUUUUAAAUUUCAAAAUUGUACAAAAAUUUAAAUUUUGAUAUUUUGAUUUAAAAAAUAAUUUAAAAGUUUAAAAUUUAAAAUAAUUAUGAAAUAUAAAAUAUAAAAUUUAAAAUUUAAAAUUUAAAAUUUAAAAUAUAAAAAUAUAAAUAAUUAUGAAUUUAAAAUAUAAAAUUUUAAUAAUUUAAAAA
rnacentral:lncRNA from 1 species